AGCCAAAUCUGGCUUUUGAUAUUAAAGAAAUAUUUUAGCAGGACCUAAUAUUUUAGCAGUAUCUCUGGAGCAAGGCCUGUGAGUAACCGAUCCCAGAGGGUCCAGAGGUGAGCUGCCUACGGCUACUGCGCUCUGGCAAAGAGAGGGGAGCAAGAGAGUCCCACGCCGCGCAGCCAUAACAUCACCCGGGCCUCUUCUGGCUCCCCGAAAAGGCCUGGGUUAUUCUGGCGUCCCACAACCACAGCCAUUUAGCGGUCAACCGUCUUCAGGCUGGGGAAAGAUCAUGUGCCUCUAGGAGGUGCUCCUGGCCAGAAGACCUCUGGGAACAGGUUUCUUUAGGUGGUCAGCAUGGUGGCAGGCAGUAUCAGAUUUAAAGAACUUAUGAAGCAUCCAUAUUCUUUUAUGAAACUACAGAAAUCCAGAGGGGAUGUGGGAUGUAUCUCUCGGCCCAAUUAUUUAUAAAAAUUAAUUGCAGGCCUUUCUUGAGCUUUCUUUGUGUGCUUCAGGACCAUUUGUGUCUGGGUGAAGAACAAUACCCCCAGUUAGUAUCAGACGUUUACAUGUUUAACUUCAAAAGUCACUUCCGGUUCUAAUGCGGUUGGUCACCGCCCCUCCCCCAGCUGCCUGGGAGAAAAGCAGCUUCGCCUACACUUCGCCUAGACUGCCGCCUUCCCUACAAACUUUCUCAAAGGCUCUUGGCAGUUCCUGGGAUGCUGCCACGCCCAGAUUUCCUACACGACAAGGCUGGUUACCUGCAACUCUUUGGGCACGAGUCAUUCUACUCAUUACUUAGAUUUCCACAAGGAACUUUUUCCUCUUAAUUUUUUUUUUUUUUUGAAUUUUUUUAAAGUAAGCUCCACGCCCACCACAGAGCCCGACAAGGGGCUCAAACUCACAACUGUGAGAUCAAGACCAGAGCUGAGAUCAAGAGUCAUACGCUUAACCGCUGAGCCACUGAGUCGCCCAGGUGCCCCUCCUCUUAAAAAUUUUUAUGUCUAUUGUUGUAUAUUUUGUUUCUUCUUAACAGAAACCAGCAAAGAGACGUGUUCCCAAGAGAACAGGUCACGCUGUCAGCUUUGACACAGAGCCGAAGCCAGAAUCAUGACAGUAAACAACAGAGAGAGACAGCAUGAGCGGGGGAGAGGCAGAGAGAGAGGGAAACACAGAAUCGGAAGCAGACUCCAGGCUCUAAGCUGUCAGCACAGAGCCCAAUGUGGGGCUCGAACUCGUCAACCGCGAGAUCAUGACCUGAGCCAAAGUUGGACGCUCAACCGACUGAGCCACCCAGGCGGCCCAAGUUUAUUUAAUUUUUUUAGUAAUUUCUGCACCCAAUGUGGGGAUCAAACUCAUGACCCCGAGAUCCAGAGUUGCAGGCCCCACAGACUGAGCCAGUCAGGCUCCCCCCAAAAGCCCAAAGUUUUAGUUCUAGCUCCAACAUUAACCAGCUAAGAGACCUCAGACAAGUCACUUAUUGUCUUUGGUUUUCAACUUUUUUCUUAAAAUUAUUUUUAAAAUCCUUCCCUGAAGGAUGAAAAUGUAAAUUAUUAAAUAUUCUGAAAACAACUGCAUAGAUGCAUUAUGUGACCCAUGUUUUAUUUGGUCCCACUGAAAAUUGUCAUUCACUCUCAAACCCUUGACCUUUUGUGUCACAGCAACAUCAAAAAGAACAGUCCUGCAAAAGCAAAGAGCCGCUGGCAUGAGCUGCAUUUUAAAGGCCGUUCAAAUCUUUGAUUUUACUACCAGGAUUGAUCUAAAUCAUUUUAAGCUCUAUUGCCUGUAGGUUUUUGGUAAUUUAUACAAGCAGAUAUCUCAUUUUUAGUGCUAUAUCGAUACAAAGAUCAUUUUUUAAUUUUAUUUCUGAGCCUCUUACUUGGUCACGAGAAACACAGCAAUAACGCACCACAUCAACAAUAAGGCUAAGAUGAAAUGUCUUAGUGACAUGCUAAUUACAACAACCUUGUGCACUGUGCCACAGACCCUCACUUUUCCAGCCAUCAUAUGAAAACAAGUGCCUAGAGAUGAUGUAACCAUGGAUAUCUUCCAUUCAUUCAUUCAUUCAUUCAUUCUUAUUAUUCAUCCUAUAAACAUCAACACAAGCCCAUGUAAGUCAAACACAACAUUAGACACUGAGGACAGAGAACAAAGCCAGACCCCUGCCUCAUGUAGUGGACGGUCCAAGGGGAGGACAGAGGAGUAAUCCAGUAAUAACCAACACAGGGUGGUCAAGUACAGAGGUCAUGAGAACAUAGAACACGGCACUGAACCUGGAGGACAUGUGUGAAACAAAGCCCUCACAGACACUGGGAUGAGACUAUGGACUAUCAUUAUUUUGUAAUGGUAGAGAAAAAGGACUCAGAAUUCAAAUGUCAAGUGAUUCAGGGGAACUGAGUGAUAAAGACCACUGAGAAAGACUACACCAGGCCUGUCUCUCCUCCUGAACUUUCAGGGUAAAAGUAGACAGCAAAUGCAGUCUGCUGCUCCUGGAGAUGCCCUGACUGCAGAGAACAUUGAUGUGUGCCACAAAUAUUUUUAAAUACCUACUAUGUUCCUGAGACUGUGCUAGGGACUAGGACAGAUGCACCAAUUGUAGUCCUAUAAUCACGGAAGUCAGAGGCCAGAUGGGGAGAGAGAAGCAACAUGAUGGAGCUCUAAAGACUACAGCGUCGUCGUCAAAUGCUGAUCUUUAGGUCAAACCAACAAAUAAAAGUAUACUUUCCU